rnacentral:lncRNA from 1 species
UGAUUUUUUUUUUUUAAUCUUGAGGCUUGAUUGAGCAAUUAGUAACAGCUAAAAAUCCAACAUUUUCUUAAAGCAAAUUCUAUCUACGCCAACAUUGCAAAGAAUAACCACAAUUCAAUAUAGGUAAUAAGGUAUGGCUAUUUUGUCACAAUAUUAAGACUAGUUGUUCUUGUGAUAAGUUGGACUAUCAUAGGCUUUGAAUUUUUUCUAUUUGUAAACAAGUCAAUCUUAUCGCUUGUCAAUUAUAUCUACCAGAGUCUAUGAAGAUCUAUUUCAUAUUCUAUGUGUCUUUUCUUGAACCAUAUAAGACAAUAAAUAUCUCGAGAAGAAGAUAAAUGCCACUUCUUUCUAUAGAAGUAGAUAAUAAUUAAGAAUUUGAUAUGGAACAAGUCUUAAAUUCAAGGCAGUAUUAAAAUAGUUUAAAAUAUCUUGUUCAUUGGCACGGAUAUGAUAUUAGUGAAUACAUAUAGGAGCCAGAAAAAAAUCUUGCAAAUGCAACAAAGAAGAUUGAGGUUUUUUUUAUAAACAUCCAUCAAAAUCAAGAUGAAGAAUAACAAAUAUUUGUUAUAAAAGAAACAUGAUCCACGAAAGAUAACAUUCUAUCUUCUACUCUUGUUUGGUACUUUUGUGCAUUUGUGUCGGUAAAGAAAUAGAGAAUCAACAACCUAUAAAUUCAACUCAAGAACUAUCAUUUAUUGACUUGUCAGACAAAACUUUGCAAUUAUUACAACCUUCAAGAUGAUAUAAUUAAGAUGAAGAUUAUCAAGAACAAUACAUUUUUCCUUGAAUAGAUGGAAAAAUACAACAUAUAUAAUAUCACAACCUUGGAAGAGAUUUCCAAUGUUUAGUGAUUUUAUUAGAAGUUAAAAUGACUCUUGAUAAUAUUUUAAAUAUUUUAUUUGAAGAGAGUUAUAAAUGCAUCAACAACAAUCAAAUAAUAAGAUCAUUUUCUUGUCUUGGUAUGAAAUACUAUUGAUGGCUGAGAGAACCUGUCAACCAUCUUUGAAGAAAAUAAAGAUCAGAAUAUAUGAAAAUUACAAAUUGCUACAUUUUGGAUUUUGUCAACAUAUAAUAACCACUCCUCAUAUAACUCGCCUCUAGAAGGAGGGAUAAUAUCACAAAUAUACAUAUUUAUUCUAAUAUAUAUCUAAAUGAUUAAAUCGAAGUACAUAAAAGUAGAUUUAUUUCAUAAAAUCUUCUAAAAAAGAUUCUUAGAAGCUUCAUAAAUAUUGCUUUGACUUUACACAUGUUUGUAGUUGAUUGGUAGAUUAGAAACUUGAUCAAUAAGUUAAUCAUGUGUUGGUAGCUUAUAGAACAAGCUAAUUAUAAGAUGUACAUAUAAAAAACUUGCCUUGAAAAUUAAGAUAUGUAUCUUGUAAAAUCAACACCUUUUUGAAGUCAUCUAAGAUACCGCCAUAUAGCUUCUAGUUAAGAAUAUAUAUAGAGGCAAGUGUGAAGCCUUUUUCAGUCUUAUGAACAUCUUUCUAGUCCUUAAUAUUUUUUUAAGACUUUCUAAUUUUCUUAUCUUUAGAAAUAGCCAUUUUAAUUUAAUACUAUAUCAUCUUUAAGUGACUUUCUACUUCUUUUGAGUGACACAAGAAUAUAGUGAGGAUUUCUUUCUUUGAACUUCAUGUCCUUAAUACAAAAAUAUCUUCAAUGAAGAAUAAAACUCUAUUAUUCAUACUCACAAAAAAUUACUCAAACUGGAGUUGAGUGCACAUUUUCUUCCACUUCAAAAGGAUCUACUUAACAAAAACAUCUCUAGCUAUCAUAUUAAAUAUCAAAAUAUUUAUUGUAAUCCUACUAAAAAUAAGAAUUUGUGAUGAAGCUCCAAUAAUCAAGCUUACCCUUGUAGGCCAUGUCAAAAACAAGAAUCUAUGCAAAGAAGAGGAAAGGUGGCACAGCUUGUGGAAGGAACAUGCACCACAUUAAGUCGCUAAAAUUCCAGACAAUGCAUAAAUAAGUAGUGAGUAAAUCCUUCAAACUCACGGUCUUUUAUUUAAUAAAAUAUUUUCUAAUAUAAUCUCCAAAUAAUUUAAUUUUUGUAUAUUUAUUUUAAACUUCAUAAUAAAAUUAGGUAUCAAAUUUUAAUCACUUUCCAAGAAUCCUUUGCUUCAAUGUAUUUAACAUAUUGUAGUUUUGUAAUUAUACAAUGACAUAAUAAAAGAAGUGGUAUUUGUUGGAACAUAAAAAUAUUAUAUAUUUAUUUUAUAUUAAAAAAUUAAUAUUUUUUAUAUUAAAAAUUUAAUAUUUUUUAUAUUAAAAAAUUAAUAAUUUUUUUUAUAAAAAAAUCAAUGAUUGGCUAUUAUUAAUAUUUGUAUAUUAAUUAUAUGUAUAUUAACUGAAGCAAGUUCUUUGUGUGUUUUCUCCAUAUCACAAUGCAAUGCAAAUUUAAUUUUGAUUUUAUUUUUCUUGUAAUCUGUUUCAAGGCAUUAAAGCAAAUCUCAAGUAUGUAUAUAUGGAUAUAUUUAUAUUUUUAUUCUUGUAUUUUGUUUUCCUAAAUACUAAAUAUUUAUUUUUGAGACUUAUUUAGAAAAUGUCUAAAUUUUAUCUAAUAUAGAGAAAAAAAAUAUAUAAAAUUUUAUAAAAUACAUGAUAUUUCAAAUCACUUUCUAAUUAAAGUUAUAGUUUGAAAUAUUAUAUUAUGUAAUAUUAUUUUACAUGUGGUAUUUAUAAAAUAUAUUUGGCUUUAUAUUAUUGAAUUUUGGACAAAGAUGUAGUUGAUUUCUACUCAUCUUUGUAAAAAUCAUAUAGUAGAGCAAUGCUCUAAAUGUUUUUUAUAUUGAAAAAUUUGUACCUCAUAUGAUGGAAUUUUUGUUUAAUGCAAAAGAAUUCAAUGUAUUCUUUACACCUUUGUAACAUGAACAAAAUUAACACAUGUUUUUUGAAAUAUAUUUUUAUGUUUGUGAAUAUAUAUAUAUAUAUAUAUAUAUAUACAUACAUAUGUAAGUUUUAUAUUUUUUAAAGUUAAUUUUCUUAUUAUACUUUCUUGAACCACAUGCAUUGUAGAUAUCUUUGUCCAUUGCACAAAUAAAAAAUCCGCAACUAAUGUUGUAUAUUUGUGAAAGGCUAUAGUAGCAGCAUGCAUCUGAUUAUACACCAUUAUUGUUUGACAUGUGAUUUGUUUGAAAAAACAAUCUACAACAGUUAAAAGCAAAGAUUGUUUGCUAAAUGGAGAAAUACAAAUCAUAGAUCUAAAAUAAAUAUUUUAUAUUAAAAAAAUUAUUAAUAAUUAAAUGAAUCUGACAAUCAUUUAGCUUACUAAAUCGGUUUUCUCAUAUAUAUAUAUAUAUAUAUAUAUAUAUACUAAUAUAAGAGUAAACAAUCAUUUGCUUACAAUAAUUUUUACAUUUUAAAUAUAUCUUAAUAGUUGCAUUAUACUAAUGUAAUUACCUCUAUCUAUAGUAUAACUCCAAUUGCUUAAUCUUAACCUUGAAUAUUAUAAAUAUAAAGAUCAAAAUAUCAAAUUUAAUAAGUUGUUGCAUUAUUAUUAAGAACCAAAUUCUUUUCAUUUUGCAUAGACAAUGGCUUUAUAUACAAUCUUCAAAAGUUAUUUAAUUCUAAGACAAAAAUAUAUGGGUCUUUUUAAUAAUUUGUAAAUCAAAAUAGAAGAAAAUAAUAUCAAGACCUAGUGUUAGAAAAAUCUAGUAUUGAUGAUGAAAUAAUAUUGUUGUCAAAUAGAUCUUACAAUGUAUCCAAUUAUAUCACUAUUUAAAAAUGUGCAAAAGAUUUAAAAAUAAAUUUGAAGCUUUGUAAAGUACAAAUUCAUGCACAAGGUCUACAAUUGAAAUGUCUUAGUUCUAUAACUUCUUAUUUAAUGCUACACAUCCAUAUAUAUAUAUAUAUAUAUAUAUAUAUUAAAAAAAGCACGAGAAGUAUGAUGUAUAUAAAACAUGGCAUAAAGAAAUAAAACAUCUGUAACAAACCUUGUGUAUAUCAUCAAAGAUUUUGCAAAGAUUUUUAAGCAAAUAUUCUUAUUCCGAAAAAUAGUUAUCUUAAGGAGAUACAGCAAAAGUAAUACUCAAAAAUCAAAAGAAUUUCAUCUAACAACAUUUUUGAAAUCUUUCUUCUACUUCAUAUUCUAUGAGCUAAUCUUCUUAUUUUUUUGCUUAUGUUAGAUGAACAACUUUUUUAAUGUAGACAUUAGAGUUUGAAUUGCUAAAUAAUAUUCUUUAACCUUAAAUCCAUUAAAUUCAUAAUACCCACUGCAAAAAAUAUAAAUUAAAUAAUGUAACAUUAAAAGGCAAUUCUAUAUCUCAUUAAGAUAACAAUUUUUUCACAUACAUCUAUUAAAAUAGAAAUAAGCUAAGACUAUAGUUACAACUACUAAAGUAUUAAAUAAAUAAGAAAUUUAGUAAAAAUGAAAGAUACAAAAUUAAAAAUAAAUGAUAUACAAUUUAAUAAAUAGAAAAAUACAACAUAAAAAAAUACAAAGAAAAUAAGUUGUGUCUUUGAAUUUCACAUAUUACAAGAGCUUAUAUUGAUCUAUACAAAGCAAUGAUAUUCUAUUAAAUAUGCAAUUUAUCAAAUUCAUCCUCAACAAAGGCAUCUAAGUAAAAAUUAUCUCCAAUCAAACUACCGUUUCACAAACCUCCACACAUCUCAAACGCUACACAUGUAUGAUUCAACUGGCAUUAACCUGACAUAACGACAAUGUUCCAAAAUCCACAAAUCCAUGCCAUCACGACGAGAGAAUUUACGAUAAUGACCCAAAGAUGAACCCAUCUCUGUAAAUUUUAGGAGACGGAAAUACAUUUACUUUAAAAAAAGUAAAUUAUUUUAGUAAUCCCAACAGCCAAGGGGCAAGCACAGGUCAACCAAAGCCUGAAUAGCCUUCCACUAAUGCAAGCGUCACACAAAUUCCUAAAACAUUCCACUCCAAUUGUCCGAAACACCUGCGUAGUAAUACUGUGUUCAUUGCACAAUUCGAUUUACGUCAUACUUCGACUUUGAGGCACCCAAGGGAAACCUACACAAAUACAGAUUAGAUUUGAAAGAUAAAUGACAAACAUUUUAAAGGUACACUACACCCAACCACCCGAUAAAUGUUAGUACAACUCAUACAAUAUUUGUCAGUGAAACGUACAGCCGAAAUUCAUUCCACAACACAAAAAUCGAAUUCGCACCGCUACUCUCAGCGACUCAGCCAAACGUGACCAUUCCUAACUUACCAACACCACACAGCAAAUCCUCAGUAAAACACAACAGACCACCAGCGCGGUCUUUCAACUCCGAGCUUCAAGGCAGCCAUAUCAGAACAUCACAAGGCCGGCUGCAAACGAGACAACACUAAGAAAUGGAACAACCCACACCAAAAUCCAGCAGAAAUAGUGGUCAUCAGGGUAGAGAAUUGCUUACUACCUCCUAAACAACAAAAUAAGACCAAGUACACGUCCGCAAUCCAGGAGAGUAUCGCAAAACCAAAAACUACCGCAAAACACAACCCCCAGAAAUCAAAGCUUCUUUCUUAACUUCAGAUCUACUGCAACUGAUCAAGCUCAACAAUGUCUGCACCACAUAUCACUUCCACCUCCUCCGUCUCCUACUCUCCAUUACCCAUCCCCCCUUCCACCCUCCAUUCCAAUCAUCACCAUCCACAUCCACAACUCUCUGCACGCCAAAAUGUAAUUCUCCAAUAAAUAUAACCAUAGCACCACCUCGUCCCUAAAUCUGUUCAGAAUCUAGUGAUUACCGUAUCUCUCUCCAUGGUGCACAUCUUAACCAUGUAGUCUCCACUACUUUACUACACAACAGAGUUCUGAAAAAAUCAAGUGGUAUCGGACAUUCCAAUUCCUACGCAACCAAAAUAAACACAGAAGACCGCCUCCUACCCACUGCUUCCUCUAACUCUCGGCCCUCCCCCUCCUCCCCUACCCCUUCUCCUACACCACACCUACUGGCAGGUCACUCCAUUCCCAUCCGACCACUCGAUCGGCUCCUCGCCGCCUGUGGCUCCACAUUUCUGGACCAUGGUCAUGCAGCCAAAAUCCUGCCGCCUUUACUUUAACACUAGGUCGACACGCCUGCGCCCAUCCCAACACAAUCCCAUCGUCAGCCCCGCAACACAAAUCCCGCCACAAAUCACCCUCCCACCACCACUUCCUUCACGCAUCGCACGCACCUACUACCCGCCCCACAUCUCUACCCAUCAUGCGCUACCUCGACACCGCUCUUACCACUACUCUCCACCAUCUAAGCACCCCCUCCCCUCCCCCCGCACCCUCCGACCCCCCAUCAACAUCCAUGCUGGUAAUAUUUGCGANNNNNNNNNNNNNNNNNNNNNNNNNNNNNNNNNNNNNNNNNNNNNNNNNNNNNNNNNNNNNNNNNNNNNNNNNNNNNNNNNNNNNNNNNNNNNNNNNNNNCGCCUCGCCCCACCGGCGUCGGCCCGUACCGGCUGUCCCCGCGCCCCCCGUAUCCGCUCCCUCCUCCCGGACUCCCACCCCCGUAUCCUCCCUGGCUGUACCCCGAUCCGUAGUUGCCCCCGCCGCGACCGCCUCCGCCGAACCCCCCGCCAGCCCGCCCCGACCCCGCCGACAGCUCCUUCGGAAUCGCCUUCUUCACCUCCACCAUCUUGUCGUUCAGCUCGUGGAACGACUUCUGGAUCACGUUCUCAACUGCAUCCUCAGAAUCAAAAGUGAUGAAGCCAAACCCCCGAGGCCUUUGCGUAUUGUGGUCAUACAUAACAACCACGUCUGUAAUAGUACCAAACUGCUCGAAAUACUUUUUGAAGUCAUCCUCUGUAACUGUCGAGGCUAAGCCCCCCACAAAUAUCUUCUUUGUCCUAGUGUGGGAUGUUGCAGGCCCUUGGCCACCCACGCUGUUGCUCCUAGGUAUACUCUGCUGUUCGUCUCUCGGCACAGCUUUUUUCGCUUCCACCUAGAAUGGGAAAAAAAAAUAUUUAACAAAGACACGCUACACAAAGUUAUACAACUGCCACACAACCUCAUGCCACCAACCACCAUCACCACACGCACUCCCGCAUGCCACCCCCCUCCCAUGCAUUCAACUCCACCUCGAUCCCCCUUCGCCCGACACCUACCGCCCCCCUCCCUCCCUCCCACCCUCGCGCCCUACCGCACUGACCUCACCACGCCACCGGCCCUCCCCUCCCCUCCCCGAGUCCAAGACAGAGCGCUUACCGUUCUUCCGUCGAUGGUGUGCUUCUCGCCGGCCACCCGAUCGGCCACGCUCGGGUCCGCGAAUAUCACGAACCCGAACCCCCGCGCGCGCCCCGUCGCGCGGUCCUUCAUGAUCACCGUCUCCGCCACCUCGCCAUAGCUCUUGAAGUAAUCGCGCAGCUUCUCCUCCGUCGUCUCCCAAGAGAUGCCGCCGAUGAACAGCUUGCCCUGAUCGGAGUCCAUGGCCGCCGACCCGUCCUGGUCCGCCAGACUUCCCGCCCUCCUAACUCCCGCUGAAAUGAUCAGAAAAAUCGGACUCCACAAAACCCAUAUGCCCCUCGCAUACACAGAGGCUCAAAUACCCUUACGACAAGAUCAAAACAAGAGCAGCGGCAUCGACAAUUCCCAUGCAACGCGCGAACCAACAGGCCGCGGCGUAGCAGGGGAGGGAGGGAGCGGACGCGAGAGCCUAGGGUUAGCAGGAGACUGGAGCUCCGAGGAGCACUGAUUCAAAGACGGGGAGAGGGAGGGGCAGCCAAGAAGGCAAGAGUCGCGACGGGAAGGGAAGGGGAGGGAAGGCCAGUCCCCCCCCCCCUGGCUUGGGUUUCGCGAACGUCGGGAUCGCAUGAAGAUUUGGGCAGGUUCAUUCAUUGAUUACCAUUUCCUCUUACGGGGCAUUCACGCAAUUCUUUGUGCUCUCGGGGCAAUUGUGAAGCACAAUCGCCCUUGAUCACGAAUUUCGCUCUGUCUGUCUAGUUAUGUUCUUUCUGGUAUUCCUUUUUGGGUGUUGGAGAGUAACGGCAUUUUGCAAAAAAAUUCAACAUUCAUAACAUUUCAUGGAACCAUUGUGGGUUUGCUUUUAUUAUAACUAGAGGAAUAAUAUCUUUAUUUCUUUGUCUACCAAGCUUAUUAAAUUACAAAGGAAUCACUAUAUAUAUAUAUAUAUAUAUAUAUCUCCAUUAAUUUUAUGUAUCAAAUAAAUUUAAACAAAGUAUUUUUGUAAAAAAUUAUACAAUUUUCUACAAUAUAGAUGGUAUGAUCAUUAAUGGAUUUUUUUCUUUAAAGAUUACAAAUGUUCAAAUUACAUUUUAAUUUUAAAAAAUAAUAUGUAUAUUAAAAUUAAGAUUUUUUAUUUUUAUUUUUUUAAUAUAUAUUUAAGUCUUUUAUAUUAUUUUCAUUAUGAAAAUAUAUAUUAAAUAUCAACAUAUGUUAUUAAAUUUUUGUAAAGAAGAAAUUUAAUAUAGUCAUUUUUGUAUAAAUGUCACAAACAUACAUAUUUAUUCUAAUAAUUACUUAUAUGAUUAAGUAGAAAUAAGUAAAUAUAGAUUAAUUUCAUAAUAUCUUCUAGAAAAGCUUCUUAGAAGCAUCAUAGAUAUGGUUUUGACUUUACAUGUGUUUGUAGUUAAUAGGUAGGUUAGAAAUUUUGUCAACAAGUUAACCACAAGCUAUAUAUACUGGUAGCUUAUGAAACAAGCUUAUUAUAUGGCACACAUAUAGAAAACUUACUUUGUAAGACAUAUGUCUAGCAAAGUCAAUACACAUUGGAGGACUUAUAGAACAUCGUGACAUAACUCUUAGUUAGAUAGUAUAUGUGGAGGUAAGAGUGAAGUCUUGCUUUACUCAUGUCAAAGCCUUUUUAGUUCUUUGUCCUAUUUUUAGACUUUUUAAUCUACUUGUCUUUAGCAAUAGCCAUUCUAGUUCAAUAUAUUACCAUCUUUGAGUGAUUUCCUAGUCUUUUCAAGUAGUACAAGAAUGUAUUGAGAUUCUCUUUCUUUGAGGUUCAUAUUCUUGAUAAUUUGAUAAAAGUGUUAACUUAUUAUUCUUGUCUUGUUUUAGAAAUGAGUAGUUUAUCCGACUUUUAUUAUUGUAUUUAAAAAAUUGUACCUAUAAACAAACCGUUUAGUUUUUUAAUAUUGAUUUUUUUCUUAAAAAAAGUAAUUUUUUUUUAUGGAAUUUUUUAUUUGAUAUUAAAGGUUGCAGAUUACCUUCUUCUAAUUUAACUUUUUGAAUUUGUUUGAGUUAUCUAUAAAAGAAAAAGAUUAUAGAUACAACUAUCAAUAAAAUUGAGAAUAGAUGUGUAUCAUGGACAUAUAUAUUCAUUCUAAUAUUUACUUAUAUGAUUAAGUAAAAAUAGAUAAAAGUAGAAUUAUUUCAUAAUAUUUUUUAGAAAAAGCUUCGUAGAAGCUUAAUGGAUGUUAUUUUCACUUUACAUAGGUUUGUAGUUGAUUGAUAGGUUAGAAACUUGGUCAAUAAGUUAACCUCAUGUUGGUAGCUUCAAAAAUAAGCUAAUUAUGUGGUCCACAUAUAGAAAACUUACCUUGCAAGUUAAGAUACAUAUCUUGCAAAGUUAAUACAUUUUGGAGGUCUUGUAGGACAUUGCCACAUAGCUCUUAGUUAAGAAUAUGUAUGGAAGCAAAAAUAAAGCCUUCUUCACUCUUAUCAAUGCCUUUCUAGUCUUUAGUCUUGUUUCAAGACUUUCUAGUCUUUUUAUCUUUGGCAAUAACCAUUCUAAUUUAAUACUAUAUCAUCUUUGAAUGACUUUCUAAUUCUUUUGAGUGAUAUAAGAGUGUAUUUAAGAUUUCUUUAUUUGAGAUUCAUAUCCUUGAUAGUUUAGCAAGAAUUCUAACUCAUUAUUCUUAUUUUUUUAGAAGUGAGUGGAAUAUCUCACUUCUACUAUUGUAUAUUAAAGGUUGCAGAUUAUCCACCUAUAAAUAAACAAUUUGAUUUUUUAAUACUAAUUUUUUCCUUAAAAAGAGCAGAUUAUCUUUCUUUAUGGAAAUUUUCAUUUUAUAUUAGAGAUUGUAAAUUACCUUCUUCUAAUUUAAUUUUUUAGAUUUAUUAAAUUAUUUAAAAUAGAAGGAAAAAUUAUAAAUGUCAUACUUAGCAGAAGUGAGAAUAUAUUUACAAAUAUUAUACAUCUUCACAAAUUUGUCAAUAUUCUUAGCAUGAAAAUUUUACACAUCACUAGUGCCAACCAAAGAAACAUUAAUCCUAUAUCUAUAAAAGAAGUUCAAAGUCUACAAUAAGAAGUUGUAUAGUUGAAAAAAAUAAGUAAAUUGACCUCACAACCAAGUCUAGAAAGUUUUGUUUCUAUAAGUGCAAUAAAGUCAAGGAUUAGUAUGCUCGAAAAGUUUGAUGGAAUAAGAUCAAAAUUUCACGGAUUUUUGCAAUAAAUCAAGCUCUAUCUAAGGUUGCAUUUCUUCUAAUACCUUAAUGGAUUUAUUCAAGUUGGAUUUAUAGACUCAUUUUUAUUUGGAAGUGCUUUCUUUUGCUUUACACCUUUGAUGAAAAAAGAUUUACAACUCCUUUAUGAUUUCAAUUCAUUCCUAGAAAUGUUUAUCGCCACAUUCAAAGAGAAUAAUUGAGAAAGAGUAGUAGAGACCAAGCUCUUAUUUUUAUGAUAAGAAUAAUAAUUAGCCACUAUAUAUGCUAUUUAAUUCCAAAACCUUGCAUACAACAUGGAUUGGAAUAAUAAAGCCUUUAUUAAUUGAUUUUGAUAUAGAUUGAAGUAAAAUGUCAAAAUUUUGUUAUUAACAAUAUCAAAAAUAAAAUCUUUGGAACAAUUUAUUGCUCAAGCCAUUGCAUAUGACAAUCAAAUAUUUGAAGGGCAUUAAGAAUAAAGAUUUGGUUGGAGAGGAAUAAAUCAAGUACUAACAACAGCUCCUAAGUUUUUUGAAACUUAUUCAUUAAGGCCAAAAUCAAUACAAAUUGAUAAGAUACAUUUUAAAUCUCUUAUUAAACAAAAACAAGACUUGUAGUUGUCAAGAAGGUUUGUAGCUAUAUUAUCAAGCAUACUAUUCAAUAUUAUCAAAAAAAACAACACAAUCAUAAAAUAAAGAGUAUGGUUGCCAAAGAAGAUGAUGUAUCAAAAAAUAAGUUUUUCCAACUAUAAUAAAGACCAUGUGGUUAGAAUCUUACACAAUUGUUAAUAAAUAUCCUAUUCUCUAUUUAAAUUCCUCACUUUAUUUUAAAAUAAAAGUAUUUUUAGGACCAUAAAAUCACAAAGUCUUAACCUUAUUAGAUUUUAGAAUCUUAUCAUGUUCUAUAAAUAAAGACUUUGUCAAAAAAUAAGAUAUAUCUUUAAUUAAGAAAAUCAAACCUAUACAUCUAGAAAUAAUAGAUGGUCGUUCAUUAUCUUUUAGAAAUACUACACAUAAAAUUAUUCCUAUAAAAGUAGCAACUAGUAUUUAUAAUAGUUUAAUAAUAUUUAAUGUCAUUAAAUUUUAUUUUAAUCUAAUUAUUUUAAGAUUAUCAUGAUUAGAUAGGUAUAAUUCUUAGAUAGAUUAAAUUUUUUGGGAUCUUGAUUUUUUCCAAAGUUUAGUUCAAGGUUCUACUAGGCAAGUAAAAAUCCAUAAGAUCAUUGCAUCCAAAUCAUUAUUUCUGAGUGCAAGAACUUUUAUACAUGCUGCAAAAAAAGGUUCAACUUUUGUUAUAUAUACCACACCUAUUUUUGACGGAAAAAAGAUUUUAAGUAGCAUUCCAAGCCAAUAUCAAGAUUAUUAAGAUAUCUUUUAAAAAAAAAAUGUAAAUAUUUUUUCAAAGCAUUAUUCUUAUGACUGUUCUAUUGAUCUUCAAGAAUGAGCUUAACCACCAUUUGAACCAAUCUAUAGCCUAUCAUAGAAUAAAUUAGUUUUGUUUAAGGAAUAUAUUCAUAAAAAUUUGGCUAAGAACUUCAUAUGCUAUUCUAAAUCUCCAAUUAAGUCUUCUAUCUUAUUUAUGAAGAAAAAAGAUAGAUCUCAAUAAAUGUGCAUGGACUAUCAAGGACUCAACAAGAUUACUAUAAAAAAAAUCCUCUAUUCUUGAUUUUAAGACUUCUUAAUUAACUAAAUUAAGCAAAGAUUUAUACAAAAUAGAUUUAUAUGGGGCAUAUAAUCUUGUAUGUAUUAAAAAAAGAGAUAAAUAGAAAAUUAUAUUUUGAAUAGAAUGUCAUAUCUUUUGGAUUCACAAAUGCACUAGUGUCAAGGACAAGAACUCAAUGAAAGCUAAAGAGUAAGUGAGACUUUUCUCAAAAAGAAAUAGGACAAAAUAGAAAUAUGUAUAUUAAGAAAGAAACUGGAAUGGCUAUUGCCAAAAUACAAGAAAACUAGAGACCCUUGAAACUAGACUAGAAGCAAGAAAGGAGUUGACAAGAGUGAAGAGGGCUUCACUCUUGCCUCUAUAUAUACUAUCUAACUAGAAGCCACGUGGCGAUGUUCUAUAAGACCUCCAAUAUAUGUUGACUUUCUAGGCCACAUGCCUUUGCUUGCAAGGCAAGUUUUCUAUGGAUGGACGACGUAGUUAGCUUGUUCUUUAAGCUUCCAACAUGUGUGGCACAUGGCUAACUUGUUGACCAAGUUUCUAACCUAAAAGUCAACUAUAGACUCCUAUAAAGUCAAAGCAGAGUCUAUGAAGCUUCUAAGAAGCUUCUCUAGAAGAUAUUAUACAAUUAACCUACUUUUAUCUACUUUUACAUACUUUUAUCUAUUCAUAUAGGUAAUUAUAUGUAUGUCCGUGACAUUACCCCCCCUUCUAGGGACGAGUUCCACGAGGAGCGGUGAUUAUAUAUUGAGAAAAUCUAAUAUGCGACGAAUUGUAUUUGCUACAUACUCUGAUCUUUGUUCUCUUCGAAGAUAGUUGAUGGGUCCUCUUAGCCAUCGAUAGUGUCCCAUUCCAGGGCGAGAAGACCACCCUGUUAUUUGAUCACUGUUGAGGCCUUCAUAACUUCCUUCAAAUAAUACAUUUGAAACACCAUCAGGAGUCGUUUCUAUCUCCAAUAAAAUCACCAAACAUCGAAAAUCUCUUCCAAGGUCGUGAUACCAAACGCGUUGUAUCUCACCAUCUAUUCGAGGAAGAACAUGUCGUUCUUGAGGGUCUUCAUCUCGGUUGCGUCGUCUUGAAGGUUGUGACAAUCGCAAUGUCUCAUCCGGUAAGUCAGCAAACGAAGGUUCUUGAGUUGAAUCCGCUUGUUGUUGGCUCUCCAUCUAAUUAGCGUCACAAAAUGCAAAGAAGUUACAAACAAGGAUAGGAAAUUGAAUGUUAUCUUGCCUCAAUCUUGUCUCUUUUAUAAGAGAGGUUUUCAUCUUGGUUUUGAUGGAUGUCGUUGAUGAAAAACUUUGACUUUAGUUGAUGCAUUUGCUAGAUUCCUGGAUGGCUCCCAUGUGCGCUCACUAAUAUCAUAUCCGCACCAAUGAACAAGAUAUUCCAGCUUAUUUCGGCGUCGCCUUGAGUCUAAUAUCUCUUCCACCUCAAAUUCUUCAUUAUUAUCUACUUCUAUAGGAGGCGGUGGCAUUUGUCUUCUUCCUUGUAUAUCCACUGUCUUAUAUGGUUCAAGAAGAGACACGUGGAAUACAGGAUGGAUCUUCAUUGACUCCGGUAGAUGUAACCGAUAUGCAACUGGGUUGAUCUGUUCAGAAACAAAAAAGGGGCCAAGCCUACGAUAGUCCAAUUUGUCACAAGGUCGAGUGGUCUUGAUAUUGCGACGAAGUAGCCAUACCUUAUCACCCACGUUGAGUUGUGGUUGCUCUUUACGAUAUACAUCUGCAUUUAUCUUUUGUCGUUCUUGAGCUUUCUUCAACUGCGCCUUCAUUAUUGCAUGUAACUCUGACAACCGAUUUGCCAUAUCUUCUGCUGCAGGAUUAUCAACUUUUGAAAAAUCAAAAGUAUCAAGUCGUGGAUGAUAGCCAUAAUUGGCAAAGAAAGGUGUUUGUUGCGUGGAGGAAUGUACCGUAUUAUUAUAAGCAAACUCUGCCAAUGGCAGAAGGUUUGUCCAAUCAUCUUGUUGGUAGUUGAUGGUACACCUUAAAUAUUGCUCCAAGACUUGGUUUACGCGCUCUGUUUGUCCAUCAGUUUGAGGAUGGAAAGCUGAAGAUAGCUUUAUGUCCACUUUUAAAAUCUUGAAAAGAGUCCUCCAGAAUCUCGACACAAAUUGAGUUCCCCUAUCCGAUAUGAUAUCUUUAGGUAAUCCAUGAUAGCGAUAGAUAUUAUCAAUGAAAAGCUUAGCUGUUUCUUCACCUGUGAUAGAUUUUGUACAUGGCAUAAAAUGUGCCAUCUUGGUGAAACGAUCUACUAUCACAAAUAUAGAAUCAUAAGAUCUUGAGUUUGGAAGAUCUGUGAUGAAAUCCAUAGAAACAGAAGACCAUGGUUGUUCUGGUAUAGGUAAUGGCUGAAGAAGUCCGUAAGGUCGAUGUCGAGGAAUUUUUGAUCUUGAACAAAUAUCACAUGAUUGUACAAAGUCUUUGACUGACUUCCACAUUUGUGGCCACCAAAAAUCUCUUGAUAUGAGUUCCAGAGUCUUAUUAUAUCCAAAGUGCCCUGCUGCUGGAAAGUCAUGACGUGCUUGAAGAACACGCAAACGUGCUUUUCCUUCUGGAACAUAUAGGCGUCCUUCAAAAUAUAAUAGAUUAUUCUUGAACUCGAACUUAGAAGAAUCAUGAGACUUGGAAGAAUUAUUCUCGAUAUCAUGAACAAGAGGGUCUGAGGACAUACUGGACUGGAUUUGCUUGAGAAAAGUUGAAUCAACAGUCAAUGUUGAUUUCACUGCUCGGAGAUGAAAUUGCUCUGGUUUCAAGAGGACCGUUCUUUGUUGCUCAAAAGCUGCAUCUCCUUCUUUUGGUGCAAAAUAAGAACGUCUAGACAGGGCAUCAGACAAACCUUGUUGUUUUCCUGGCCGAUAAGUGAUAAUGAAGUCGAAUCUUGACAAAGACAUACUCCAACGAGCUUGACGACGAUUCAACACGGGUGCUGACAUGAAAUACUCGAGGUUCUUGUGAUCUGUAUACACAGUGAUUGGACUAGAAGCACCUUCUAAAUAAUGACGCCAUUCUUGAAAGGAAUCCACGAUUGCAAGAAGUUCUUUAUCGUGGAUCUCAUAAUUGAUCUCGGCUGCUGAGAAUUUUCUUGAAUGAAAAGCUAUCGGAUGAAGUUUGUCAUCUGUUCCCAUUUGUGAUAAAACUGCACCCAAGGCAAAAUCCGAUGCGUCUGUUUCCAUAAAAAAUACCUUGGAAAAGUCAACACGAUAUAAGACUGGUGCAGAGACAAACGAUGUCUUCAAGGCUUCAAAUGCUGCUUCCGCUUCUUGAUUCCAUUGGAAUUUAUCUUUACUAGUCAAGCGUGUAAGUGGAGCUGCAACUCGUGAGAAGUCUUUGAUGAAGAUCCGAUAGUAAUUGGCAAAUCCCAAGAAACAUUGGACAUCUCUUACAGUCUUUGGAAUCUUCCAAUCCAUGAUUGUUUGGACUUUCUUAGAAUCCAUCAUAAGACCAUCAUUUGAAAUGAUGUAUCCUAAAAAGUCAACUUGAGUAGUGUGAAAUACACACUUUUCCAUCUUGGCGUACAAUCCUGCAUCUCUGAGUUUUUGUAAUACUUGACGAACAUGUAUUUCAUGUUCUUCAACAUUCUUAGAAUAAAUCAGGAUAUCGUCUAGGUAGCAGACGACAAAAUUGUCUAAGAAUUCACGAAAUACAUCAUUCAUGAGAUGUUGAAAAGCAGCUGGUGCAUUCGUGAGUCCAAAAGGCAUGACAUUAUAUUCAAAAUGCCAGUACCUGGUUCGAAACGCAGUCUUCCAUUCAUCUCCUUCUUUGAUCCGUACUAGAUUAUAUGCUCCUCUUAGAUCUAUUUUUGUAUAGAUCUUAGCUUGAUUUAACUGGUCAAGGAGUCCUGAUAUCAAAGGUAAUGGAUACCUGUUCUUGAUUGUGAUCUUGUUGAGUCCUCGAUAGUCAACACACAUUCGUAAAGAUCCAUCUUUUUUCUUUACGAAUAAAAUUGGAGCUCCUGCUGGAGAUUUUGAAUGGCGUAUGAAAUUCUUCGCUAAAUUCUCGUCAAUAUAUGUCUUGAGUUCAGCCAACUCAUCUUGCGAUAAACUGUAAAUUGGUCCAAAUGGUGGCUGAGUUCCUUCCUUGAGAUCGAUUGAACAAUCGUAUGGGCGAUGCUCAGGAAGAAUAUCUGCAUUCUUUUUCUCAAAAACGUCUUGAUAAUCCUGAUAUUGACUUGGAAUGCCACUUGAAGUCUUUACGUUUUCAGAAAUAGGUGCAGCAUAAAUAGCAAAAGUUGAUCCUUCUUUUGCUGCGUGUAUAAAUGCUUUUGCACCUAUAGGUGCGAGUUUUACUAUACUAGACUCAUGGUUUUUUACUUGGUUAAUAGAACUGUUACUAAUGCUCUGAGGAAAAUCAAGUUUACGCGAAAUCCAAUCUAUUCGAGGAUUAUACUUUUCUAACCAUGAUAAGCCUAAAAUUACUGGAUUAGAGGGAGAUCUAAUUAUAUUAAAAAUUACGCAACUACUAUGACCAUUUAUUACUACAUCUACAGGAAGUGUUUCGUGAGUUACAUCUCCAGAAGACAACGGACGACCAUCUAUGACUUCUACGUGUACAGGUUUAGUUUUUUGUAUUAAUGAUAUUCUAUGACAUCUAGCAAAUUCUUCAUCUAAAAAACAAGAUGAGGCUCUUGAAUCUACCAAGGCAGAGGCUUUGUAAUUAUUAGGUCCUAAACGCACAUCUAUUAUAAAACAAGGAGAUGGUUCUGAGGAGAGGAUAGGACCUUCAUUAGAAGUUGUACAAGAUUCCAGCCGCACGGUCCCUAUUGUAGCUGGACGUACUCGUUUUCCGACAUACUGUCUUCUUUGACAGCCGUACUCCUCAUUUUGUAGUUACGUCGCUUCUUUGGACAAUGUUGAGCAGUGUGCUUAGGUUCUCCACUAUAUAAGCACAAUCCUUCUUGUCGACGACGAGACUUUUCUUGCUCAGUAAGAGGUUUGAAACGUACCGCAUCAAUUUGCAUAUCCUCUACUUCUGAAGGUAUGUGUUGAGGAGACGUCGGUGUUGCCAUUGAAUUGUAGUAACGUUGAGGCCCACUUGUGCGACUCUCGGAUCAAAAUUCAAAAAGUCGAUUGUCGCACUUCACAGCAAAGUCAAUUGCUUGACUCAAUGUUUGAGGAUCAGGUAAAUUAAGCAUCAAUUUCUUUACCUCAUAUUGUAAUCCGUAGAGAAAUUGACUCACAAGUGCGGCAUCAUCCCACUUGAUAUCAGUUGCAAGUUGUCGAAAUUGCGAAGCAUAUAAUGUUACUGAUCGAUUGCCUUGUCGCAAAAUACGGAUCUUGUUGGUUGCAACACGAAUUGCAUCAUGUUCUCCAAACAUGGAUCGAAACUCCGCCAAAAAAGCCUCCAGAUUAUCCAAUAUUGGAUCUCGUCGUUCAAGAAAAGAUGAAAACCAUGACAAUGCUGAACCUGAAAGAAGUGUACCAAUGAAUCUAACUUGUGACCCUAGAGUUGGAUAGCUCUGGGGUUGAAGUUCAAUCACUAGUUGGACCUGAUUGAUGAAUCCUCGAAACUUGGAUCUGGUACCAUCAAACUUCUCGGGCAAGGCAACUCUCGGUUCUCUAACACUCGAACGGUGUUCCAUUCUGGGAGAAGGGACAUGGUUUGGUGCAGAUGUUGAAGCAGCCCCAAUCAUCUCUAUAUCUUCACUUCCUACCAUUCUUGUUGCUCCUUGUGGUGGAAAAUUGAGUUGAUGCAUCGCAAGCAUUAACUCCCUCAAUUGUUCUUGCAUCUGUGCCAUUGCACUCUUCAUUUCAACAAGCUCUGCCAUAGUAGCACUUAGAAAAGAGAAGAUGUCUAAUAACGCUCAAAACAAAUAGAAGAGAGGAAUUGAUAACAAAGAAAAUACUAAGAACAAUAUCAGUUUAAAAGAGGGUAAUCCGCAACUUCUAAUGCGCUUAUGUCUUAUCAAAAAAAAGGGGUAAUCCACUCUUAAUCAAGAAAAGACAAAGCUCUGAUAUUGUAAGUGCACUCUUGUCAAUUUGUCAAGGACAAGAACUCGAUGAAAGCUAAAGAGUAAGUGAGACUUUUCUCAAAAAGAAAUAGGACAAAAUAGAAAUAUGUAUAUUAAGAAAGAAACUGGAAUGGCUAUUGCCAAAAUACAAGAAAACUAGAGACCCUUGAAACUAGACUAGAAGCAAGAAAGGAGUUGACAAGAGUGAAGAGGGCUUCACUCUUGCCUCUAUAUAUACUAUCUAACUAGAAGCCACGUGGCGAUGUUCUAUAAGACCUCCAAUAUAUGUUGACUUUCUAGGCCACAUGCCUUUGCUUGCAAGGCAAGUUUUCUAUGGAUGGACCACGUAGUUAGCUUGUUCUUUAAGCUUCCAACAUGUGUGGCACAUGGCUAACUUGUUGACCAAGUUUCUAACCUAAAAGUCAACUAUAGACUCCUAUAAAGUCAAAGCAGCGUCUAUGAAGCUUCUAAGAAGCUUCUCUAGAAGAUAUUACACAAUUAACCUACUUUUAUCUACUUUUACAUACUUUUAUCUAUUCAUAUAGGUAAUUAUAUGUAUGUCCGUGACAACUAGCUACUUUUCAACAUCUAACAAAUGAUGUCAUUUAUGAAUUCUUUGAUGAUUUUAUCAUCUAAUAUUAUAAUAACAUCUUAAUCUAAUCUAAAAACACAAAAGAGUAUGAAGUUUAUAUUUGUUGUUUAUUACAAAAACUAAAAGAUACAAGAUUAUAUGCAAAGAUGAAAAAGUGUGUAUUUUACACUACUUAAGUUGAUUUUUUUGGAUAUAUCAUUUCAAAUGAUGGUCUUAUGAUAGAUUCUAAGAUGAUUCAAACUAUCAUAGAUUAGAAGAUCUCAAAAAUAAUCAAAAAUGUACAAUAUUUUUUGAAAUUUGAAAAUUAUUAUCAAAUCUUCAUCAUGAACUUUUUUCAAGUUGUUGCUCCUCUUAUAUGCCUAACAUAUAAAGACAAAAUUGAAUGGAGGAAAGAAGUUGAAGGAUCUUUUGAAGCCUUAAAGACAUCAUUUAUUUUAGUAUUAAUUUUAUAUUGUGUCAACUUUUUAAAAGCAAUCUUUAUAGAAAUAAAUACAUCAAACUUUGUCAUGGAUGUUGCUUUCUCAUAAAGAGGAGCAAAUCACAAGCUCCAUCUAGUAGUUUUUUAUUCUAAGAAAUUUUCAAUAGCCAAGAUUAAUUUUGAAAUCCAUGACAAAGAGUUUUAUUGCAAUUUUGGAUUUAUUUCAAAAAUGGCAUCAUUAUCUAAAAUUUUCUUCUAGUCCAAUUAUUGUAUAUGAAGAUCACAAGAAUCUUGAAUAUUUUAUGUCAACACAUGUUUUGAAUUAUCACAAAGAUUGUUGGAGCAUGUCUUUAUCAAAAUUUGAUUUUAAGAUUACUUAUCAAUCCAAAAAAAUAAAAAUGUUUGUCAAUGGCCCUUUAUAAACCUUCUUAUCUUACACUAAAAGAAGAAGAUACAACUUUUGAUCAACAAAGAAUAAUUCGCUUAAAACUAGAGCAUUUUCAUCUUUAAACAAUAUAAUCAAUAUUGACUAUUGAUUCAUCUUUUGUCAAACAAAUUCAAUUAAGUAUGUCUUUCAAUCCUCUUCUUCAUGAUAUCAAGAAUAAUUCUUUUAAUUCUCAAAAUACUUUCAAGUUUGAAUUUAAAAAUAAUCUAUUCUAUUUUAAAAAAUAAUUAUAUAUUCUAAAAAGCAAAGCACGAUUACAUAUAUUUUAAAUUUGUUAUAACUUUUUAAUAAUCAAAUAUUUUGGAUAUAAUAAAAUUUUAAAGCUAAUAUUAAGAGAUUUUUGGUGGCUUCAAAUGCAAAAGGAAAUUAAAGACUUUCUACAAUCAUGUUAUAUUUGUUCAGGAUAAAAAACUCCUUGUUAUUGACUUUAUGGACUUUUCUAGCCAUUACCUAUUCCACAACAAUCAAGGUCUUUUGUUUCAAUGAAUUUUAUUAAAAAUAUUUUAAUUUCAAGUUUGUAUGAUUUUAUAUUUAUUAAAGUAGAUCAUUUUACUAAAAUGUCACAUUUUAUACUAUGUAUAAAAUAUAUCACAUGUGAAAAAAAUAGCUAAGCUUUUUCUUAAUAAUAUCAAUUACUAUCAUGAAUUGUCUAAAGAUAUUGUAUUGAAUAAGACUCAAUUUGUAUCAAGAUUUAAGAAAAUUAUUUUAAAUAUUCUAAAGUUAGAUAUAAAGCUUUUUUUGACUUUUUAUUCUUAAAUUGAUAAAUAAAUAGAACAAGUGAAUGAAGUUCUAAAGUAAUAUUUGAAGUAUACCAUCAACUAUCAUCAAGAUGAUUGAACAACUCUUUUGCUAUUGGUGGAGUUUGUAUAUAAUAAUUCAAUAUAUUCUUCUAUUCAACAAAUACAUUCUUUUUUAAUUAUGGUUGUUAUCCAUGACUUGAUACUUUUGACUUUUCAAAAGUUAAUAAUCAUGCAACAAAAGAUUUAGUAAAUUAUUUGUCAAAGCUAUAUACAACAAUGAAGGCAAAAUUAACAAAAAGAUAAAAAUAAUAAAAGAUCAAUGUGGAUGCCUAUUGCAAGGAAAAACUACAAUUUAUUGUAGGUGAUAAGAUAUGACUACUUCAUUGCAUUAUCAAGACUAUUCAUCUUUGUAAUAAGUUGGACUAUUGUAGGCUUUGAUCUUUUUCUACUUAUAAAUAAGUCAAUCUUAUUCCUUAUCAAUUACAUCUACUGGAGUCUAUGAAGAUCUUAUCAUGGACAUAGGCAUGUAAGCCAAUAAUUACAUGUAUAAAUAGGUAUAAGUAAGUAAAAGUAGGUAAAAAUAAGUUAAUUCUAUAAUAUUUGGUAUAGAAGAUUCUUAGAAGCUUCAUACACAUUGCUUUGACUUUAUAGGUGUUUUUAAUUGACUUUUUGGGAUUAAAAACGUGGUCAAUAAGUUGGCCAUGUACCACACAUAUUGUUAGCUUGAAGACCAAGGUAACUAUGUGGCCCACACGUAGAAAAACUUGCCUUGUAAGUCAAGGCAUGUGUCCUACAAAGUCAACACAUAUUGAAGGUCCUGUAGAACAUUGCCACGUAGCCUUUAAUAAGAUAGUAUAUAUAAAGACAAGAGUGAAGCCUUCUUUACUCUUGUCAACUCUUUUCUUGCUUCUAGUCUAGUUUCAAGGGUCUCUAGUUUUCUUUUGGCAAUAGCUAUUCCAGUUUCUUUCUUAAUAUACAUAUUAAGUUAUUUCUAUUUUUUCAUCUUUCUUUGAGAGUAGUCUCACUUAUUUAUUUGACUUUAUCAUGUUUUUGUCCUUGACACAUCUAUUUCAUAUUCUAUAUAUAUAUUUUUUUAGCCAUAUAAAAUAAUGAACAUUUUAAAAUGAAGACAAAUGCUACCACGUCCUAUAAAAGUGGAUAUUAAUCAAGACUUCAAGGUGGAAGAAGAUUUAUAUUCAAGGUGAUGCCAAAAUAUAGUGUCUCAAAAUAUAUUAUUUUAAUGUUGACAUAUUUUAGAAAGAAUAGUAUAUUACAAAUGAAUUGUAGUGAAUAAUGACAUGUGGUUUGUAUAGCAAAUAAAGUAUUCUUUUAUAGCUAUCAAAUGAGCCCAAAUUAAAAAGAAUCCAUUAAAUAAUUAGAAAGCUAUGACCAAUCUAAUUUAGAAUACUAUUAAAAUAAUUUUUUGAAUGUAGGAUCUAAUUUUUGGAUUCUAUCAAUUACUCAAUAUUAUAAUAUUCUAUCAUUAUUAGAUUUACUAUAAAAAUAUUAUUAUUAAUCUAAUAACAUCAUUAAUGCUCACUAGCAGUUAUAAAAGUACCAUUCUUAAUCACAAUUUCUAGUAUGGACGUAUUUCAAAUUAUCACAUUUUAGUACCUUCUAAAAUCUUCUACAAUAUUUUAAAAAAUUCCAUAGGCUUUUGGAAGCCUCUUUAGACUUCUAAAAGCUUCUAUAGAUUUCUAAAAACUUCCAUAGAAAAUACCAUAGACUUUUAUAACCUUCAUUAUAGUAUAAAUAGAAGUUUUUUGAACCACUUUUGCUAUUAAUAUUAUUCUUUGUCUUUAAUCUUGAAAUAUUUCUUUAUCAAAUCCUUGAUAAUUCUUUAAAUAACUUUGAGAUAUAUUUUUUACUCUUUCCAAGACAACAUCACAUCUACACUUCUUUAUUCUCAAAAAUCUUAUGGCCAAAUUGCUUCUGAACUUAGCUGCUAUAAAGCUAUUAUCUCUAGGGUAGCAAAAAAGAUUACUUUUAAUUAGGCAGAUCAAAGAAAUUCACUGCAGUAGAUAAAAAGGCAAUUAUUUUCCAAAUCAACUCUUAAAAGGCUGAAAAUAUUAUUGAGGUUGCUAAAAAAUUUAACAAUAUUAUCAGUAAUCUCCUACCAAUUCAAACCAUUCAAAAUAUUCUUAAGAAAUGGAAUAUGAAAGUUGUUGUGAAAAAAAAAAAAAAAAUCCACUAUUAUUUACUUACUAUUGAAAAUAAUGCUUGGAUUUUGCUUUAAAAUACAAGGAAUGGACUAUGGAAAAUUGGAAGAAGAUUAUUUGAUUAGAUGAAAAAAAAUCAACAGAUUUUGAUCAGAUGGCAAAAAGUGGAUGUAGAAACAAAAGGGUCAAUUCUUACUUGACAAGAAGAUCCAAGAAACAAUUAAGCAUAGAAGUAGAAAUAUAAUAGAAUGAGAUUAUAUGAGAUGGAAUGGAAUUAAAAAGAUAGCAUAGGUUGAGUGAAAUAUGGAUGCCAAGCAAUUUGUAGAAAUUCUUGAAAAAGAAUCUGCUCCCUAAAAUUUAAGAAUCUCGCAUAUAUGAGGAAGAGGUAAAUUUUCAGCAAGAUAAUGACCUCAAGCAUAACUCAAAACUAACAAAAAAGUGGUUUGUUCAUCAUAUGAUUAAAUUAACAAAUUGACAUAUUCAAUCUCUUGAUCAUAAUUCCAUUGAACAUCUUUGGGAGCACCUCAAAUGCCUACUCAACAUUUGGAAGAUAAAAUCAAUGGAAGUUUGGAAAUUAUGAAAAAAAAAAUUGUAGAAUGAAAUAAUAUUGAAGCAAUUUUGUGCCAAAAGUUAAUAAAAAGUAUGUAUAGGAGGUUGGAAGUAGUUAUCAAGGCCAAAGUAGGUCUUACAAAGUAUUGAUAUAUAUUUGGAUACCACAUUCAAAAAAAUAUUUCAAUACUAUUCCAAAUUAGAUUGGUCAUAGUUUUACAAUUACCUAAUGGAUUUUUUUCAAUUUAUACUCAUUUGAUAGCUGUAAAAGAGUAUUUUAUUUCCUAUACAAAUCAUAUCUCAUUAUUUAUUACAACUCAUCUAUAAUACAUCAUUCUUUUUAAAAUAUGUCAACUUUGAAAUAAUUUUUUAAAUCAUUGUAGGUUAGAAUAUCUUGUUCAUUGGCAUGGAUAUGAUAUCAAUGAAUGCGCAUGGGAGCCAACAAGUUUUUUUGCAAAUGCAAAAAAAAAAAUUGAAGCUUUUUAUUAAUAAUAUCCAUUAAAAUCAAGAUUAAGAAUAAAAAAAAUUUAUUAUAAAAGAAACAAGAUUAAAAAAAUAUAGCAUUCUACUUUCUAUUCUUGUUUGUAAUUUUUGUACAUUUGUGAAAUUAAGAAAAUAGAGAAUCAAAAACCAAAAAAUUCAACUCAAGAGCUAUUAUUUAUUGACUUAUCAGAUGAGAUAUUGUAAUUGUUAUAACCUCCAAGAUGACAUAAUCAAGAUAACACAAUCAGAAUGAAGAUCUUUAAGAAUGAUACGUUUUUCUUUGAAUAGAUGGCAAGAUGUAACAUGUUUGGUAUUACAAUAUUAUAAGAGAUUCUUGAUGUUUGGUGGUUUUAUUAGAAAUAAGAAUGACUCUUAAUGGUAUUUUAAAUUUUUUAUUUGAAAAAAAUUACAAAGGCCUCAACAAUUUUCAAAUAAUAUGGUGGUCUUUUUUGCCUUGAUAUGAAAUACUAUCAAUGGUUGAAAAGACCUAUCAACCAUCUUCAAAGAGAACAAAGAUCACAGAAUGUGGUAAUCACAAUUUGUCACAUUUUGGAUUUCUUCAAUAUGUGAUAAUUGCUCCUUGUCGAUUUUAUUUCCAAAAAAAGAGAUAAUAUCAUAGACAUACAUAUUUAUUUAUAUGAUUAAAUAAAAGUUGAUAGAUAUAAAAUUAUUUCAUAAUAUGUUUUAAAAAAAAUUCCUAGAAGCUUUAUAAAUGUUGCUUUGAUUUUAUAUAUAUUUGUAAUUAAUUGGUAGGUUAGAAAAUUGUUCAAUAAAUUAACCAUAUCUUGAUAGCUUACAAAACAAGCUAAUUAUAUAGUGCACAUAUAAAAAACUUGCCUUGCAAGUUAAGAUAUGUGUCUUACAAAGUCAAUAUGUUUUGGAGGUCCUAUUAGGCAUUGCUACAUAACUCUUAUUUAAGAGCAUAUACAAAGGCAAGAGUGAAGUCUUCUUCAUUUUGAUUAAUGCCUUUCUUAUCUUUCAUCUUGUUUCAAAACUUUCUGAUUUUCUUGUCUUUGAUAAUAUUCAUUUUAGUUUAAUGUUAUAUCAUCUUUGAGUGAUUUUUUAAUUCUUUUGAGUGACAUAAGAGUGUAUUUAGGAUUUCUUUCUUUGAAUUUCAUGUCCUUGAUAAUUUGAAAUUGUUAUAGAUCUUCAAAAACUUGUCAAUAUUCUAAAAUUAGAAAUCUCAUAUAUUUUCAAUAUGAAUUAUGAAGUAUUAUUUUUACGCAUAUGGAACAAAUUAACAAUGAAGUUCAAAGUCUAUGCCAAGAAGAAAGAUCAAGCUUAUAACUAAAUCCAAUUUUUUUUUGCUACUACAAGUAUAAUAGAAGCAAUAAUAAAUAUGGUCAAGAAAUUUGAUGGAAAAAAAUCAAAGUUUUAAGGAAUUCUACAAAAAUAUAAAAUUCUAAGGUUGCAUCUUUUCUAAUAACUUGAUUGAUUUACUCAAAUUGGAUUCAUUAAAGUCUUUUUUUUUACAAAUGUUAUUGUAUUAUAUGAAGUCUAUUUAAUAAUUUACCAGAUACAUUGUUGUAGAAAAAAAAAAUAGAACUUACAACAAGAUGAUCCUAACAACUCUAAUAAAAUCCUUAAAAUAAUUUAAUUAAAUUAUAAAAAUAUUAACCAAUCUUUAAUUAAAUCCACAAAAAGUUUCAAGAACUUACAAAAGAAAUAUAAAAAAAUCAUAAAUUAAUCUUAAUAAAAUACAUACAAUAAAAAAAUCUUAAAAAAUAUCAAAAUAAUAAAUCUUAAUUGAAUUUUAAUUAAAUACUAAUGUAAUCUUCCAAAAUUUUAAUAAAAUUUUAGACUAAUUUCAACCAAAACUUUAAUGAAAUCCUAAAUUUUUAACAAAUCUUAAUCAAAUUUUAAACAAAUUUUAAUCAAAUCUUAAUCAAAUCUUAAUCAAAUCUUUAAAAAAUCCUAAUAAAAUCCUAAGUAAAUCUUAAAUUCUAAUCAUAGAUCAAAUUCUAAUAAAAUCAUAAUAAAUCCUAAAAAAAUCCUAAAUCUUAACUUCAGACCAAAUCCAUAUGAAAUCUUAAACUUUAAACAACUUAAGAAAAUUUCAAAUAAAUUUCAUUCGAUUAUUAUAGCUAAUUGAAACCUCAAUAAAUAUUAAUUGAACCAUAUAUCUUGACUAAAAUUUUACUUAUACUUCAACCAAUAAACAAUUAAGAAACAUAUAAAAUUUAAAAAGAAUCAAACUUAUCAAUUAUAAGAAAAGCUUCCAAAACUUCUUAGUUAUUGAUGGCCUUUCUUCUCCCACUUGAAUGCUGAUCUUUUAACAUUGAUUUUUCCUUAUUGAAUCAAUUUAUUUUUCCAAAUAUUGGAUUUUAUGUAUAUAUUCAAGUCUUAAGUGCUUUCACCAAAUUUUGCUUCAAUUUAAUCAGCUAAUAUUGAUAGAUAUUGAAAUCAUUUGCUAAUCCUAAAUCUCAUUUUUUAAAAACUAUAAUCCAUAAAAAUUAUUAUAUUCUUCAAUCUAAUAUCUUCAUUGACUUCAAACAUUUCACAUACAUUUACAACAAGUACAACAAAAAAAAUUCCAAUUUUUAUUAAUACACAUACUAUAAAACUCACAAAAUCUUAAAAUUUGUAAAUUUAUUUUACUUUUUAAAAUAUAAAUCUAUCAAGUACAUCAUUAACUUUGAAAAGCCCUCAAAAUAUCAAUAUUAAUUUUAAUAACAUGAAACCAACACUCAAACCUCUUCUCUCAAGUGUGCUUUCAAAGCUUAUUCUUUAAUUUGCAAAAAAAUGUGAAGUCAUUGUAGGUGCUCGAUUUUUUGCCUUGGAGUCUAAUUUUGACCUUGGUUAUCAAUUGAUCCUCUACAAGUAUCAAUUCUUAUCUUCUUAAGGUAAUUUUUUCUAAUAUCAACUUCUAAUUUUUUUUUAUAUAUGUCUAUAUUCUUGAUUUCUCUUAUCUAUCUUAUUUUGCCUUAUUUAUGGUUCUAUAAAAUAAAUAGAAAUCAUUUUUAUAAAAAAUAAUUCUAAUACUAAUAGAUUUUAUUACUUGCCUAUCAUUUAUCUAUAUUUUUACUAUAUAUUUUUAUUUAGGUUCUUCUAUAAUAAAAUAUUUUCCUUCUUCUUUCACUUUAUGGCCCUAUUAUUAUACAAUAGUGCUCUUUCUUCAUUUGUACCUUUGAUAGAAAAAGAUUCAUGGCUAUUUAUGAUCUGAAUUUAUUUUUAUAAGUAUUUAUGGCUAUAUUUAUAAAAAAAAUUUGAAAAAAGGUAGCAAAGUACAAGCUUGUAUCUCUACAAUAAAGAUCAUAUUUAGCCACUACAUAUAUUGUUGAAUUUCAAAAUCUUACUUAUGACGUGGAUUGGAAUGAUAAAGCCAUUAUUAAUCAAUUUUGAUAUAAAUUGAAAGAUGAUAUUAAAUAUUUAUUUUUGAUAAUACCAAUAAUAGAUUUAUUAGAGUAAAUUAUUACUCAAGUCAUUGUAUAUGAUAAUUAGUUUUUUAAAAGAUACUAAAAAUAAAUAUUUGAUUAAAGAUGUACAAAUUAAGCCAUAGAAAUGUUUUUAAAAUUUUUGAAAGCUUAUUUAUUAAGGCUAGAGUCUAUGCAAAUUGACAAGGUAAAUUUUAAACCUCUUACUGAGCAAGAAAAGAUUUGUCAUUGUUAAGAGAGUUUAUACUUAUAUUGUGUAGAAGCUAGGCACACUACUUAAUAUUUUCUAAAGAAGCAACGCAAUCACAAAAUAAAGAGCAUGGUUGCCAAAGAAAACAAUAUGUUGUAAAAUAAAUUUUUCUAGCUACAAUGAUGACCAUGCAACUGGAAUCAUGUACAACACUUAGUACAAGUCUUAUUCUUUCAUUAGAUCUCUCAUCUUUUUUUACAAUAGAUAUAUAUUUAGGACCAAAAAAUCACAAAUUCUUAGCUUUGUUAGAUUAAAGAGCCUUAUUAUGUUUUAUAGACAAAUAUUUUGUCAAAAAAUAAGAAAUAUUUUUAGUUAAAAAAAACCAAACUUGUAUAUGUAAAAGUAAUAGAUAAUUUCUUUUGUAGCUAUAAAAAAAGACUCAAUUUUUGUUAUAUAUGCCACACCUAUUAUUGUUGAAAAAAAGAUUUUAAAUAAUAUUUCAAGCCAAUAUCAAGAUUAUUAAGACAUUUUGAAAAGAAAAAUAUAGAUACUCUUUUUAAACAUUAUCCUUAUGAUUAUUUUAUUUAACUUCAAGAAAAAGCUCAACCACAAUUUAUACCAAUCUAUAACCUAUCAUAGAAUAAGUUGGAUGCACUCAAGGAGUAUAUUGAUGAGAAUUUGGCUAAGAAUUUCAUAUGCUAUUGUAUUCUAUGAAGUCUUGCUCAAGAAUGCAUCAGUCACCUAGCUAUAGAAGAUAAAAUCAAAAUUACUACAACAAAAUCUUAACUCUAAUAGAAUACUAAAUAAACUCUAAUUAAAUCUUACUAAUGUUAAACAAGAUUUGAUCAAAUUUAAAAGAAAAUUUAAAGUAAUUACAAUAGAAAUAAUAAGAAAUCUUAAUGGGAUUAAAAGAAAAUCCUCCAUAAACCUUAAAUUUUUUUUAAAGAAAUCCUAAAAAUAUUAGAAUAAUUACAAAUAUAUCUUAAAUAAAUCUCAAAAAAGUUCCAAUUUAAUCCUUGUUGAAAUCUUAAUGAACUUCAAUCAAAAUCUAAACAAAUCCUAAAUUCUAAACGAAAUUCUAGACAAAUCCUAAACACUAAAACAAAUUCUAAAAAAAUCCUAAAUCCUAAAUCAAAUCCUAGAAAAAUUCUAAACCAUAAACCAAACCUUAGAAAAAUCUUAAAUCCUAAAUCAAAUCCUAAACUAAAUCCUAAUUCUAAAGCAAAUCGUAACCAAACCUUAAUCAACUCAAUCUAAUUCUAUUACUGUUUAAAACCUUAAUAACUAUCAAUUGAGUUAUUGAUAUUGCUUAAAAAUUUACAUACUUCUCAAAAAUUAAAUUAGUAAUAAGUAUAUGAAAUUUGAAGAUAAUCACAUAUACCAAAGGGAAGAAAAAUCUUAAAAUUUUCUCGAGUAUUGGUUGGCCUCCUACUCCAAUCUAAAUGUUGAAAUUCCAGUGCCAAUAUCUCUCUUUUAAACCAAUUAAUUGUUCUCAAAUUUCACAUAUGUAUAACAAAUCAAGUCUAUUACUUUUAUAAAUAAAUUUUACUCCGAUUCAAGUAGUAGAUUGCUAAAGAUCUUAGAAACUCUAACUGCCUUUUAAAGUCCAAUUUUUGAGAUCUCAACCUACUUGAAAUUCAAUAACCUUCAAUUCAAUAAUUUUAUCAAGCUCAAACUUACAGCAUAUACUCUAGACAAUUAUUUUUAUAAGUCUUCAAAUUUUGAAUCAUAGAUCUAUUACCAAAUUCAUGAAAUUCUCUAAAUUAUUAUAUCCUUUUUUAUUUCAUAGAUUCUAUAGUCACCUAAAAGAAGUGUGACUUUACAAAGCUCUUACAAAAUCAUUACAUACUCAAAUCACUUAAAAUCAUGCCUAAAGAAACUUUUUUAAGUCUAUUCCUUAAUCCUACUUAUUGAUCUGCAAAAAAAUCCCCAAAUUACUAUAGGUACCUAAUUUUAUGCCUCAAGGUCUGAUUUCAAUCCAUAUUGAUAACUGGUCCUCUCCAAGUAUCAAAUUUUGCCCUUUUGAGUUAAUUAUUGCUAAAAUCAAUUCUUUACUUCCUUAUACUUAUGCUCAUAUUCUUUAUUUUUCUAAUCUACUUUGUUUUUUUUUUAUUUAUUUAUUUAUGAACUUACUAAGUAAAUAGAAGCUUACUUUGUAAAAAAGUAGCAUUUACAUCUUUAAUUUUACCUUCUUUUUGGACUAUUGUCUAUUUUUUAAGAUAAAUUGUUAUAAUAUUUGAAGUAAGAUCUUCUAUAAUAUAAUAAUUUUUUCACCCUUUUUACCUAUUAGUCAUAUUAUAUCAUGACAUUCACCCCCUAAACUUGUGCAUCUUCCAACAUGUGCCAAUGAUUCUUUAAUAUAUUAUUAAAGUAUUCUUUAUCAUGGUUAGAUUCUUGAUCUUCAAUUUUCUCUUCUUCUUCUAUCUUAUUGUCUUGUAAUGGAUUUUAUUCUUCGUCAAAAUUAAUAUUUUUAUCUCUUUGUUUAAAUAACUUGAUUAUCUUCUUUACUAUAGGUAUCUUUAUUUUUGUACCAUUAAGUUCUUAUAAAAAGUAUGUUCUAUUGUUGUAUACUUAUUUGACAACAUAAGGCCUAAACUAUCUUCUUGUAAAUUUUUUUAUCGUGCUAUAUUGGUUGUCCAAACUACUAUCAUAAACCAACAUCAAAUCAUCAUUUUGAAUUAGUUUUGGAUAUAAUUGAUGUUUUUUGUCAAAUCUUUCUUUGUUUUUCUCCUUUUCCUCUUUGAACUUCUUUAUAGCUUUCUCAAUGUCCUCAAAUUUUCUUUUAAGUUGUCAAGUUUGUAAUGCUAAUAAUUCUUUUUUUCUUAAACCAUCUUCUUGAGGUAAUAUAUUCUAUAUUGGCAUCAUUGAUUUUUGUCCAUACAUCAAUUCUGCUACCAUGUAUCAUAUAAUUGUACUAUGAGUUAUGUGAUUCGUCUAUAAUGCAAAUGAUAAUAACUUAGGCCAAUCACCUAUCUUGCCUUUGCAUACUUUAAUCAAUGCUUUAACAAUUGGAAAGUGUCCACAUUCACUGUUGUUAUUUUUUUUUAGAUUAUAUGUGGUUGUUACUACGACUUUAAUACCCAUCUUCUCAAAGAAUUCUCCUACUUUAUUUGCAUCUAAUUUCCUUCUAUCUAUAGUAAUUUUUCUAAUAUAAUCAUAUUGACAAAUAAUUUCCUCUAAUAUAAACCGAUAUACCUCUUCCAAAGGCUUUGUUCAAAAUGCUCUUCCCUCCACUUGAUUUAUCAAAUUCUCUUCAGUAAGUAUCAAAUAUUUCUUUUGUCCAAAUUCCAUUGGUAUUACAACUAAAUCAACUAUCAAUUUCUAGUGAAUUGCUAAUGGAUAUGUUGGAUGCAAUCCAUCUCAAUGACAAAUGUUUGAAUAUAUUUGACAAAUCUCACUAGAUCCUAUAAAAUCUGCCAUAUUUUUAUAUAUGCCCUUUCACCAAUAUUUUUCUUUUACCUUUGCAAAUAUUGCCCAAAUGCCUCAAUAUCCGGCCUAUCAACUUUCAUGAAAUUCUUUAAUGAUAUUUAGUUGAGUAUGAUAGCUACAUAUAAUCCAUUGUGGCACUCCGCUCCUUUGCUUUGGAUGCUUCUAUAAAAAUCCAUCUUUAAAAAAAUAUCUAUAAGCUUUCCUCCAAAUUCUUUUAAACUUAUAAUUUGCCAAAUCUUCUUGCUGCUUUAAUGUACUUAAGUACUUUUUAAUAUGCAACCAUUCACCAUCAUAUAACUCUUUUGAAAAUAAUUCAAGUAGUUUAAUUAAAUACAACUCAUUCCUUCUUGCACACAAAGUUGAAUAAAAGUCCGUGCCAAUAUUUUCUUCAUCAUAUCAUGCUCAUGACAACAUGUCUGCAAGCACAUUAUCUUUUUUAAAAAUAUGUUUGAAUUCUGGAUUCAUAGACUUUAUUUAUAUAAUCCAUCUUAACAUUGAUAUAUCUGAUGUAGAAUAAUUACUAAUCAUGCCUAAUAAGCAUAAACAAUCUAUUUCUAUAGCUAACAAUGUAUCAAUCAAGUAUUCUUUUUUAUUUUUCAUAGCCAUUACUAUACAUUAUAAUUUUUUUUUAACUUGUGCAUAUACCUUCUGCUUAGCAUUCAAAAUCUUUGCUUUAAAUCUUACUACAUAUUUAUUUCUUUGUUCAUCAUCUUGUCUAACUAUUCAACCUAUUUCAAUUAGACUCAUAUCAACUGUUAAUAUCACUGACCUUCGACAUUCAUAAUUUACUUUCUUCAAAGUUAGAGGUGAAGAAAGAAGUUCUUUCAAUUUUUUCAUAGUUUUUUUUUGUUUCCCUUUCUAAUGAAAUUUUUGAUUCUUUUGUAACAACUCAUCUAAUGGAUCUGCUACAUAUGCAAAAUGAGAUAUUCAUAUAUAAUAAAAAAUACAUGCUCCUAAAAACCUUCAAAUUUCCGUUGUGUUUAUGCAUUCUUUCAACUUUUUAAUAAUAUUAAUAUUUUUCAUACUUGGCUUGCGUCCAUAUCAUCCACACAUGUAUCCUACCACCAAAACUUUUUUUUAUCCCAAAUAUUGAUUUUGUCCCUGAUAAGAUUAAAUAAUUUUUUUCUAAUCUUGUCAAAAUCUUCUCAUAAUCAUCAAUAUGAUUUGCCACAAACUUCCUACAUCCUAUUGAAUCCAAUAUCUCAUCUUUUUUUUCUUCUUAACAUCCUUUAAUAGUACAUCAUCUAAAAAAUAAAUUAUUAUUUUUAAAAUAAAUUCUCUUAAUAUCUUAUAUAUUCUAUUCAUUAUGUGUGCCAUAGAAUUUGUAACCCCUUGAGGUAAUAUACACAUUCUGACUAAUCCUAAUGGUGUCUUUACAAUUGUUAAAUUCCUACUUUGCAUUGCUAAUUGAAAUUACUCAUAAUCUAAAUAAAGAUUACUUAUUAAAUAGAUAGCUCUUCUAGCAAAUGCUUCUACAAAUUCAUCCAUAAUUGGACUUGAAUCCAUAUUUCUAAUAGUCACUUUAUUCAUAAGUUGGAUGUCUUAUAUAAAUCUCAUUGUUUUAUUUUUCUUUGGCACUAUAAAUCAUCAAUUAAAAUAGGAUACCAUUGAUAGUUCUAAAAUCCUCAUUUUAAUUUUUUUAUUGAGUAAAUCUAUUAGCUUAGAUAAAUGUGCUCUUGGUACUAAAAUUAGUCACAAAUUUCAUAGUUCAUGAGGAAUAGUAAAAAAAACCAUAGGUGUUGCAAUACUUAGAUCGACAUAUCUAAUUUCAUGUGCCUCCAAUGCAGAAGCCUUUCUAUGUCGUCUAAGGAUAUCUUUAAAAUAUAUUUUUUCAAAUUUUGUCAAAAAUCCAUCAUAUCCAACAUUUAAUCCAUGUAAUGUAGUAUCCGUAAAUUCAUGCCCUAUCUUCCUACGAUCCUUUAAAUUUAGUUGUGUAGAUGCUCCAUUUAUCCUUUCUUCAUAAUCUGGUAGUAGUGGCAAAGUCAUUGGUUUGACAUUUUUUGCGAUUGAUUAUACUUAAUUUCAACAUAUUGUUGUGACGUAAUAUGACUAUAUAGAGAAAUUAUAAUCAAAAUUAAAUUUUUAAUUAAUAUGUAAUUAUCUUAGUUCAAUUAUAAUUUUAGGUGUAUAAACAUGGCUUUCAUAAAAGCCUCUUAGGUUAUUUUCUUAUCUUAAUAGUUAAUAAGUUGAAAGUUGGUUAGUAAUUUUACCUUCUAGAUUGUAGAGACACUUCUACUACCUUAAAAAGCCCAUAAAUUGAUAAAAUCAGGUUAAAAGAGGUAAAUAAUUAAUAUAGUUGGUACUAGGAUUAAGUUGAAAGUAGGGUUGGACUAAAAAAUCUUUAGGAUAGGUUAAAUUGAUACCCGGGGGUCGGCCAUUUGUGAGACAAGGUUGAAAUCAGACCUCUCACCACAAAAAUGACGGCCUAGGGCAAAAUAAGGAUUCACUCAAAGAUCGAAGGAUAGUAUUUGAGAGCUAGCUUGAAGUUCUUUCUAGAGACAUAAGGAUUUUUUUUGGAAGGUUUUUGAAAAUUGAGAAAUUGUUCAAAGUCAGGGUUUGUAUUGGUGAUUUGGGUUUUAUAGAAUAUAACUAGGGAUAGCAAUUUUGGCUAGUUCAUGUAAUUAGUCUCACAUCUAUGGUUGAAAAUUUGGUACUAUUUGGAUUAUUAGGUGUGCUAAGUGUAUACAAAAUUUUGUGAUAAUCUAAUGGCGUGCUUUAGAGAUAUCUAGUUUUUAGUGUAAGAGGGUUUUGGAAGUUGGCAGUUUAAGGUUGGGUAGGAUUUUUGUGAUAUAUGGAGAUCAAUGAAAUGGAUUAAGGUGAAAUUUUGCAUGGUAUUGAAGGACUUGAAGAUCAAAUUGCACACCAAUUUUGAGUCAAAGUUAAUGGUUGGAAAGGGAGAAAUCACUACUGGGAUUUCUACUUCACUUUUUAAGUUGGUGGCCAAGUGACAUCAGUGCAAAUUUCGGAGGUUUUCUCACAAUUUAUAAGUUGGAUUGGGCUAAAAAUUCUUGAGCAUAUAGAAGACUUACAUUGACUAUUGCAUGCAAAAUUCCACAUCAAGUGGACGGUCGGAUUGGAUGUUAUAGCUUAUGAAAGCUCACUAAUUAUAGUUGGGGCUUAUAAGAAAAAUCUAAAUUACUUAAAUAUGAAAGUAACAAGAUAAUUGGGAUUUAUGUAUGAUUAAGGCUAAUAAGAAGAGUAUUUUUAGCACUUUUGAAUUGAAAUUCAAAUUAUAUUCUUCUUGUAUGGAUGAAACCUAUUAGGAUUCUUGAAUUCUUGUGAAACACAACCUCACCUUCCACAGUUAGGUGCCUGAUGCAUUCCCAAGGAAGACAACACAUAAUAUGAUAAUAUACCUCUUGGCAAUUUAAAUUUUCUAUAAAUCUAUAGAUUUCAUCAUAAAAUUCUUUAGAACAUACAUUAAUACAUUUAUUCUCUCCUUGCAAUCUAUCUUGCGACAAAUAAUUUAAUUUUCCCAAGAUAUCUGCAAAUGCCACUUCUUCAAAUGUUCCUAAAAUAAAUUCAUUUUCAAUCAAUUCUCCAUUUUUUUUUUCCAAUUUUUGCUCAAUAUUUUUAACAUAUUGUUUAUCCAUCUUCUUCAUCUUAUCAAUAUUCUUAAAAGAUAAUACACAAUUUGGUGUCAACUCAAUCAGCCUAGUAAAUAAUAUUUUCUUUUUAUACUUAGAGGGAGCAUCUUUUUUCUUAACCCAUUGCAAUCUUGUUUUAUAAUGGUGUGGUGAAAAUCCCUCACAUGUUCACCUCUAAAUUCUCUAGUAACCUUUGGCAAAGGUUGCUCUCUCAAACUCCCACAAUUUUUGUCAUGAUUAGCACAUACUGUCCAAAAUUGCAUCAUUUUUGUUCUAUCUUGAUUCCAAGCAUAUGUCAAUCUAUUGUCCUUAAUCUUUGUUUCCAUGCAAGUAGCCGUAAUAUAAGGUUUUUUUAGAAUGAUAGGAUAAGUAGACAUAUCUUGCACAAAGAAGUUUUUCUCAUCACUAAUAUCUCCUAUUAUAACCUAUUAUAUUGAGAAAAGACAUCCUUCUAGAGUGGAUCUCACUGAAAACUUAAGACAUAUGUGCCCUAAGGUCAUGGUCGAAUGUCUCAGCUGUGGGGCAAAGAUCCCAAUGAAGUCCAGCCUGAGCGAUGCCUUGAGGGUAGUAUAUUCAUCCCUGUAUCUCCAUCAGUAUUUCCUGCUUUCCAGGCUUGUAAUUCGUGUCCUGCCUUAUCCCCAGUCCAGAUAGGUGCAUAAACUUUCUUCUGGGUGAUAAGUAUAUUGACUGAUGCCGAACAUUUGCACUGUUUAGCCAGGCUGGUCCUCGCAUCUGCAUUGGCAUCAAAUCGGCGGCCUUGCAUAUGAAGAUGGCCACGGCAGAUUUUUAUGUCGGUUGUCAAGUUCAGAAUUGAUGCGUGGUCACCCUGUGGAUUGCCAACCGACCGCCAACUUUUCCAUACAAAAAAGAACUGCACUGGGUAGAGAGAAGGCAAUGUUUAAAUAAAUGUGUCCCUCGUUUGUUUCUACCCCGCCUUCAUCACAAUAACAAACUUCGUGUGUAUCAGAAUUAGUUCGGAGUUAUGAAAUUUGUAUCUUCAAGCACAAAAAUAGUUCGUGAAAAUCUAACAAAUUUUUAUUUUAUUUAUUUAAUUAUUAAUAACUUGAAUGUGAAUACUAGAUAAUGCUCUCCAGCUUGUAAAUGUCCAUUGUUUAUAUUUUCAAUAUUUAUGUAUACGUGCCAUUCAUUAUACGUAUAUUGAAAAUAUUUAUGUAUACGUGCCAUAUACAAAAGCAUUAUUAAUUGUUGAUUCAGGGUAAUUUAAAAUUAGCAUAUGCUUGGAAGACAACAUAUACUAAAUAAUCCGUACACGGGUUUAGGAACUUACCUCUCAACUGCAAUACAUCGGAGCAAAAGAUGGAUAGCAGAAUAAAAAAGGUGGUUUACGGUGUGUGCUAUACCAAAGCUAUCAGAACUAGGGAAUUAAUUAUAGGGGACUCCCAUUGAAUUUACUGUGAAGGGAAACACUUGAACCUAUGACAAACAUAGAUGAGGAUGCAAUACAAGCUAAUCUUAUCAAAGUCCUCUAAUACUUAAUUACAGCUGGAUCAUAUUUGCUAAAAAUGAAAUAAUGAAUUUAUAGAACCAGAAUGUCCGGGAAAAAAUACGAUUCUAACAUUAUCUGACAUUGCCAACGAAGAAGCUUAAUCAUUCUAAGCAUUCUAGGUAAUGCUGAUCUUGACCAAUGUCAAUGCUUCGACCUACACAAAUAGUCUACAAUAAAUACCUGCUUUCAAUUACCAACUAAAAAAAAAAAAAUCCAGUGGGAGACACAACAGCAAAUGAAUUCAGAAGCCCUCAAUAUCCGUUCUGAGACAACAACACAGAUAUGUAUAUGUACACGAUUAUUCGUCUGAUAACCAACAUCCGUUCUAUCGAGAUUGUGAAGAAUCAACGAGGUGCUUAAGAGUGCAAGGCAUCUUGUUCCACAUAUUCGGUUAGCACAAAUUUUUAGAAGUCAGCCUCAUGAAAGAUAAAUCAAAAGAAACAGCAGGAACCACUUACGUUAAUUGUCAAGAACUCACACUUCCCAACAUCUUCCACAUCCCACCACCAGCAUUCGCAGGUUGAUGGAAGACGUUACGAGCCCACCUCAUGUAAUGUGGGCCACAAAGCCGACAACCCUCAUCUGACAAAGCAAUGCCCCAAGACAAUCUGUACAAAAGGGAUCAAUGCCAUCAUGUAACCGUGCCAUAAAAAAGAUCUUCCAACUUGACUCAUUCAAACCCUGCGAUUCCAUAUAUCCUUGUAAUCAACCAGGUGUCAGACAACGACAUCACAGCCAGCACGCGCAAUAAAAAGUAGGCCACAACUAUAUUCCAAGCAUAAUCGAGUAGCUGACAAAUGCAAACCAACGAACUUACCCCAAACGGCUUACUACGGCAGUACCCUGAAACCGUCAAAUUUUCCAAGGAAACUAUAACAAAGAAAUGUGUGUAUUUAUAUGAAUGCUCCACAGGCUUGAAAUUUUCAAACUACAUUGUACAUAGGACCAACCAGCAAAACUAAGGAUCAAUGUGUCUUCCUAAACCAACUAGAAGUACAUCGAGGAUUCCUUCCAACAAGAAGACCUACUGCAACUGAUCAAGCUCAACAAUGUCUGCACCACAUAUCACUUCCACCUCCUCCGUCUCCUACUCUCCAUUACCCAUCCCCCCUUCCACCCUCCAUUCCAAUCAUCACCAUCCACAUCCACAACUCUCUGCACGCCAAAAUGUAAUUCUCCAAUAAAUAUAACCAUAGCACCACCUCGUCCCUAAAUCUGUUCAGAAUCUAGUGAUUACCGUAUCUCUCUCCAUGGUGCACAUCUUAACCAUGUAGUCUCCACUACUUUACUACACAACAGAGUUCUGAAAAAAUCAAGUGGUAUCGGACAUUCCAAUUCCUACGCAACCAAAAUAAACACAGAAGACCGCCUCCUACCCACUGCUUCCUCUAACUCUCGGCCCUCCCCCUCCUCCCCUACCCCUUCUCCUACACCACACCUACUGGCAGGUCACUCCAUUCCCAUCCGACCACUCGAUCGGCUCCUCGCCGCCUGUGGCUCCACAUUUCUGGACCAUGGUCAUGCAGCCAAAAUCCUGCCGCCUUUACUUUAACACUAGGUCGACACGCCUGCGCCCAUCCCAACACAAUCCCAUCGUCAGCCCCGCAACACAAAUCCCGCCACAAAUCACCCUCCCACCACCACUUCCUUCACGCAUCGCACGCACCUACUACCCGCCCCACAUCUCUACCCAUCAUGCGCUACCUCGACACCGCUCUUACCACUACUCUCCACCAUCU